rnacentral:rRNA from 1 species
GGAUUUGGCAUGNGUGCGAGCCUGNUCCAGCCAUGCCGCGUGCAGGAAGACGGCCUUCUGGGUUGUAAACUGCUUUUGCCAGGGGAUAAAACGUUCCUGCGGGGAUAAUUGAAGGUACCUGGUGAAUAAGCCACGGCUAACUACGUGCCAGCAGCCGCGGUAAUACGUAGGUGGCAAGCGUUGUCCGGAUUUAUUGGGUUUAAAGGGUGCGUAGGUGGUUCCAUAAGUCAGUGGUGAAAUACGGCAGCUUAACUGUCGAGGUGCCAUUGAUACUGCGGAACUUGAGUACAGACGAGGUAGGCNGGAAUUGACGGUGUAGCNGGUGAAAUGCUUAGAUAUCGUCAAGAACACCGAUAGCGAAGGCAGCUUACUAGACUGUAACUGACACUGAGGCACGAAAGUGUGGGGAUCAAACAGGAUUAGAUACCCUGGUAGUCCACACUGUAAACGAUGAUUACUCGAUGUUGGCGAUACACAGCCAGCGUCUUAGCGAAAGCGAUAAGUAAUCCACCUGGGGAGUACGCCCGCAAGGGUGAAACUCAAAAAAAUUGACGGAA